rnacentral:lncRNA from 1 species
GAGCUGGAGAACAGAGGAUCAGGAACAGAAACAUAGAGCUGGAGAACAGAGGAUCAGGAACAGAAACAUAGAGCUGGAGAACAGAGGAUCAGGAACAAAAACAGAGCUUGAGAACAGAGGAUCAGGAACAGAAACAUAGAGCUGGAGAACAGAGGAUCAGGAACAGAAACAUAGAGCUGGAGAACAGAGGAUCAGGAACAGAAACAUUGAGCUGGAGAACAGGGGAUCAGGAACAGAAACAUAGAGCUGGAGAACAGGGGAUCAGGAACAGAAACAUAGAGCUGGAGAACAGGGGAUCAGGAACAGAAACAUAGAGCUGGAGAACAGAGGAUCAGAAACAUAGAGCUGGAGAACAGAGGAUCAGGAACAGAAACAUAGAGCUGGAGAACAGAGGAUCAGGAACAGAAACAUAGAGCUGGAGAACAGAGGAUCAGAAACAUAGAGCUGGAGAACAGGGGAUCAGGAACAGAAAUAUAGAGCUGGAGAACAGAGGAUCAG